rnacentral:rRNA from 1 species
GUGGGGAAUAUUGGACAAUGGGCGAAAGCCUGAUCCAGCCAUGCCGCGUGUGUGAAGAAGGUCUUCGGAUUGUAAAGCACUUUAAGUUGGGAGGAAGGGCAGUAAGUUAAUACCUUGCUGUUUUGACGUUACCGACAGAAUAAGCACCGGCUAACUUCGUGCCAGCAGCCGCGGUAAUACGUAGGGUGCAAGCGUUAAUCGGAAUUACUGGGCGUAAAGCGUGCGCAGGCGGUUUUGUAAGACAGGCGUGAAAUCCCCGGGCUCAACCUGGGAACUGCCUCAAAAACUGCAUGACUAGAGUACGGGAGAGGGUAGUGGAAUUUCCUGUGUAGCGGUGAAAUGCGUAGAUAUAGGAAGGAACACCAGUGGCGAAGGCGACCACCUGGACUGAUACUGACACUGAGGUGCGAAAGCGUGGGGAGCAAACAGGAUUAGAAACCCUUGUAGUCC